UUUUCUAGCAAUAAUAAAUCCUACCAACUCAAAUCUUAACUAAACAAAAUAUAAUCAAAUGCUCAAACAAUAAAAAGAAUUUCAUCUCCGGCCAUGGGCGACGACUGUUGCAUCUGCGACGGUUGUUGUGGAAGAGGAGGGAAGGUAGUCAUUGUAAGAAGACAGUUGCGCGAAGGCAAAGGUAGUUAUUGACGACCCAUUUAACGGCGAUGCGACAUUGAGCGGCGAUGCUUGGUAUUCGUUGCUAAAAUCUUAAAUCUUGAUGUUGUUGUGGUUUAUAUGGUUUAAAAUGAGAGAGAAUGGAUUUGGGAAGAGUUGCAUCCACUAUUGCCAUUAAUAAUUGCAAAUAAGGUGUUAGAUAAAAUGUCUCAGUUGUUUUAAUUACUAGCAAUAGUUACAAAGGCAGUAUUAUUUUAUUGAUGAGAAUAGUUGUUUUUGUGAGGUCUUGUUGGAUGGACUUGAUACUGCAAAUUAUUGUAAACUUUGAAAAAUAAAAGUAUUGGAUGUUGUUCGGAACGAUGACAGUGGUAUUGUGACGGUGGAGAUGGUGGUAAGAUAAUAAUAGAAAGGUAUGUUUUAUUUUUGCAAAACCUAUAAAUUGGCCCCUAAACUAUUAGCUUUUGUUUCAAUAGGCCUCUAAUCUUUUUUAUUGAAC
rnacentral:lncRNA from 1 species